rnacentral:lncRNA from 1 species
AUGUGCCUGUCCCUGUACCUGUGCGUGAUGAUGAGCCUGUCCUAGUAUAUGUGAGCUGCUUCAAUUAAAAAAAAAAAAAAAAAAGCCCCUUGUUUUUCUUGCUUGAGAAGCAAGGAAUUUGCUUGCUUGCUUAAUUAAUUAAUUAACUUAUUUAUUUAUUUAUUUAUUUAUUUAUUUUACUCCAUCUAGGGUUCUCUUGUUGUGAGCUCUAAACCUCUCUUGACCCUUUUAUCUCCUGGUGUGUUUUACUCGCACUCUCAGAAACAUUUCAUUCAGUUACAAAAGGGCUCUCAGCCGAGAGGUGAAAGGGGCUGUAAAAUUGGCAAAAUGGUGAACUAGAGGUACAGUGGUUGCACCAAAAGCAUUAGGAAAGUAUAUGGAGGGCUAGUGAGAUGGUUCAGUGCAUAAAGGUGUUUGCCAACAAGCCUCAGGGCCUGAAUUUGAUCUGUGAGACCCACAUGGUGAAGACAAGAACAAACUUCUAUAAGUUGUCCCCUGACCUCCAUCUUCCACACAUAUGCUGUGACGUGCAUAUAGUCACCUCUAUUAUAUAUAUAUAUAUGUAUAUAUGUAUGUAUAUAUAUAUGAGAAAAGGCAGUGAUAUUUUAACAUAAGAUGUUUUGCUGAUUAUUUGGGAAUAUAUAUAUAUAUAUAUGUGUGUGUGUGUGUGUGUGUGUGUGUGUAUACAGUCUGAUAUAUAGCAACUGUAUGGAGAUAGUAUUGUCAGAGCCAAAGUGAAAUGUAUGAUGAAAGAGAGAAUAGCUAGCAUAGAGACAACAUGCUUCUUGUCUAUUCUUACUUAAGGGCUUUAUCUACAUGGAGUGCUCAUUAAUCAUACCCAAUAGCUAGACUACAGUACAAGUGCCGUAUGUAGUACUAGUAUGCCAUGAUAUAGUAAUAACAAGGCUGCCACAGUAAAGUUGCAUAAACGAGGUGCCUCUAACAGAGGUUUGCUUUCUUACCAUUACAGAUGUCUGGAAUCAUGGGCUAGUUAUUCUGGCAGUCCUUAUCCCUGAUUUGCAGAUGGCCACCUUUUCUCUGUGCCCUCACACAGUGGGUUUUCUGUAUACACCUAUUUUUUAUGGUUUAUAAGGGCAGCAGUCAUACUAAAUUAGGGCUUGACAAGCUUGUUUUGACUUAGGUAUCUCAAUCAGGACCUCUGUCUGAAAAGACAGUGAUUUGAAAAAAAAAAGAUUUAUUUAUUUAUUUCAUUAUGUGGGUAUGCUGUCGCUGUCCUCCGACACACCACAGACGGCAUCAGAUGCCCAUUACAGAUGGCUGUGAGCCACCAUGUGGUUGCUGGGAAUUAAAUGCAGGAUGUCUGAAAGAACAAUCAGUGCUCUU